rnacentral:lncRNA from 1 species
AGUCUCUUUGUUUCGGGCCAUCUUUGUCUUGAAGAAACAUCCUCGAGAACGGGGGUGGUGGUUCUUCUGUCCUCGACCCCGACAAUAAAUUUUUAAGAAACUCCCUUCUUCUAUCCAUGGGUGAAAGAAAAAUUUUUUUUAUAUUGCUGCUGACCACCCUUGGGAUUUUGAUUGCACAUGGACCACCCCCAACCUUUCUC